GCCCGCUUGGCUCAGUUGGUUAGAGCGCAGGUCUCAUAUCGCACAAUAUGAGUAACUCGAUGGUUACGUAAUCCUGAGGUCGCAAGUUCGAACCUUGCAGCGGGCA